ensembl:lncRNA
UAAAUCUUGAAUAUGGAGCACUUUCACUGUCUGCUCCUGGACAGCACCAGGGGGCGCUCUCACAUAUUCGGUGAUUUCCUUAGCCCCAAGGCCAUCACAGUGAGGCAGGAGAGUAGGGAGACUCACCCUGCUUUUGUGUAAAGCUUGCUCACAGGCCUCUGCCUUUCUUGUGGUGAACCUAGCAGUGGGGUCUGUGUCUCAGCUCCUGGCUCCGAGCACAGAGCUUGUAGCUGCGUGUCGUGGGCCAGGCCUCCGGUCCCUCUGAAGCCUCGCUGCUGCUCAGCAGGGCUGCAGCCUGAAAGGCCGUCCUCUUCUGGCAUUAUUUCCAUCAUCCGUCUUAAGACUAAGAACUUCCUGUUGCUCACCACGCUGGUUCCUGUCUUCACCUCAUCUUCCAUCUGAAGCAAAACACGAUGACCCUGUGGCCUUUGAGGGCCUGCUGGUCUAUAAGAUGGGGAACAAAGGAGAAUCUACAGGAACAAGAUUUUCACAGUGUUUUAACAAGACGAAAGAGGUCACGCUGCUGUCUGAACCCACGUGCCACUUCUUAGCAGGAGUAACUGAGAACAAAUGUUUUUAGAGCAGUGUCCCUGGCAUCAGAAUAAAAGAAGCAGCUCCAUUUGGAUGUUCUGUGCA